GCUGGGUGUGGUGGCGCACACCUGUAGUCCCAGCUACUCGGGAGGCUGAGGCAGGAGAAUUGCUUGAACCCAGGAGGCGGAGGUUGCAGUGAGCCAAGAUCACACCACUGAACUCCAGCCUAGGCAACACAGCGAGACUCUGUCUCCA
rnacentral:SRP_RNA from 1 species